rnacentral:tRNA from 2 species
UGACGGGUAACUCAGACGGUCAGCGUGCCGGCCCGUUAAGCCGGAAGCCGCGGGUUCAAACCCCGCUCUGUCAGCCA